GACGAACCCAUGCAAACGUUAUUCGGAUUCACUGGGCUUAAAGCGUGCGUAGGCGGUCUUGUUAGUCAGGUGUGAAAGCCUCAGCCCAACCUGAGGAAUUGCGCUUGAUACUGCAUGACUUGAGAAUGAUAGAGGUGGGUGGAACUGAUGGUGGAGCGGUGAAAUGCGUUGAUAUCAUCAGGAACACCAGUGGCGAAGGCGACCCACU
rnacentral:rRNA from 1 species